UUUUUUCUGCCUUGUACAUUAAGUUUAGCUUAUUAAUUGCCAAGGUUACGAGUGGUGACCCAGCCAAUGGCACCAGUAAUUGAUCAGCAACUUCAGCUGCCAAGGGAAUUCAGUGCAAGAGCAGCAGAAGCAUUGAAUCACCUUGUUGGCCUUUUAUCUUAUAUAGCUGCUUGCUUUUAAAUUCUUUUCUUUCUUUCUUUUCCCCACUUUUAGAGCAGCUGAGCCUUUGUUUGCUGAUCUCAAAAUUGUUGUUCAGCACAGCAGAAAAACCUAAAAUACACGGGAGAUAAAUAUAUCGAACAGCUGGAAAGUAAUUAUACUGUUAUAAAGUCACCUUCAUUAUCAAGUCAACUCCAGAUUCUUAAAGUAUACUACAGUGACUUCAUGGAACUUGUCAUAAAACAGAUGGCCUGAUUAAAAUCUCUACAACAUCCAAAGCAACAGGAAUUGCCAGCUCUAUCUGGCACACAAUCACUAUACAUCUUUCAUUUUUUCUUAGUGGGAACUUGUAUAGGAUGUUCUAUGGCUCACUUCUAAAACAUCAAAUAUGUUACAACAGAAGCGGAAAAUGAAAGAAAGUAAAAGAUUAAAAUCCUGACAACCUACACAUCACUCGUGUACUAAAUACUGAUGCUCUAACCUACGACACAUGACAUUUGAUGGUAGCAAUUAUACUUGUUUGGCUUGAAUAAGCAACAUUUUCCAAACAUUUCAACAUCCACACAGAGUGCAAACAUCAACAUUUACAGUCUAAUAAGACUGAAUUACAUGGCAAGCUGGGACUGCAGUAUCUUUCCUCUCAAUUUUGCUUGAACACUGGCAUAAAUGACAGUAAAUUCAAUUUAUAAACUGAAACAAGCUGAAAAUAGCAAACCAAUACUAUGAAAAAUCUUAGGCCAACUCUCCUUCACUCAGCUCAGUGUCAGUCUGUGUUUUCAAGGGCAGUUUUAUGGCAGCACGCGCUCUACCCUGGUGGUGGCACAUGUGAUGAGGUCUCCUGACCCCAGUGACAGUGUGCUCUGUCUCCUACCCCAUGCAAAACUGCCGAGGAUGAACAGGAAGUGGCAGUGGGCUGGAGGAGCAUGUCACUGGGUGCAGCACAUAGGAUAAAAACUGUCAGCAGGGGAAUGGUGCCCCAGGUAUGAGUGAGGCAGCCCCAGAGCUGUGUGGGUUUUUGGAACCUGUGUGGGUUUUUGGAACCUAUUACAGCUUUGGCCCUGCCCUCAACUUCUUGGUUUUAUUGGGAACGUGUGACCAUGCCUCUACCAAAAUGAAAUGACCAUGCUUCUACCAGAAUGAACCCUAUAAAGACUGCCAUGUGCAGAAAUAGUUCCCUGCUUGAUUUCAUAGCACCUAAUAUGCGUUGUAGCCACUGCACGUACACAAUAAAAUCCAAAAUUCUCUUAUUGGGAACAAUUGCUUGAAGCCAAUGAAAUGGGGCAGAGAGAAAAAAGAUAAAAGAGAUGGCUCGAAAUCAUAGGAUUUAAGUUGAAACUUCAAUAAAAAUUUUAACAGAUGAUAGGAAGAGAGGGGGAUUUGCACAACCAAAUUUUAAGUUAUAUUUCAAAGCGAUAUGCCUAACCUGGUUAAAAUAAUGGAUUACAUUAAAAAAUCCAAGAUUGUUGGAUUUGGAAGGAUUGAUUUAAGAUUCGGCUGGCAUGCAUAUUUAUUUUAUGACAAGGUAAAAGUAGUCAAUAAAGAAUUUUAAAAUCAUUAUGUUAGAAAAAGUCUAUAUAUGGUAUGGAUGAAAAAUAAAUUUUUGUUAGAAGCAAAAAUCCCACUUUGGGUAUCCCCACUGGAAGUUAUAUCUAGAAAACAGAAAAAUAUGCAACAAUCUUGGCCCACGUAUCGACAACUGUUCGUCUUUCAAGGUGUAAAAUACGAACUUUAAAAGUUAGAAUAUAUGCAGGAUUGGAAUAUCUCUUGGUUCCAAUACCAUCAAAUCAAUGCAAUAUUUAAGCAAGACUGUAAAAGCGGUUUUAACCAACUAAAGUCAGAAUUUGAACUACAGUUGUGCGAUAAGGAAGAAAAACUCGUAUCCAGGAUGUAUGGCCUAUUACUAUUGGAAGAUACAAGAAUGGAGGUAGUAAAAACCUCGAUGAUUAAAUGGGCCCAGGACCUUGGUUAUAACAUUGACUUGGAAAAAUGGGGAAAACUUUGGAUAAAAGAUAUAAAAUUUACUGCUUGCUCUAAUUUAAAGGAAAAUAUUUUGAAAAUGAUGUACAGAUGGCAUCUUACGCCCAAAAAGUUGGCCGUAAUCUACAAGAAUAUGUCAAAUAAAUGUUGGAAAUGUAAGAAAGAAGAGGGUUCCUAUAUUCAUUUAUGGUGGACAUGCAAUAAAUCGAGAGGUUAUUGGGAUUUAAUAUAAAACGAGCAUUAAAAAGUAUUCAAAAUGACUUUUCCCAAGAGUCCAGAAUCAAUACUAUUAGGUAUUGAUAACAAUGCUCUCCCGAGGAAAUAUUGGACCCUCUUUAUGUACUUAACAGCGGCAGCAAGACUGACAUUUGCGCGCAAAUGGAAAGACAGUCAAUGCCCGUCUAAAGAGGACUGGAUUCUUAAAGUACUAGAAUUGGCAGAAAUGGCAAAAUUAACAUCACUACUAAGAAAUAAAGUUGAAGAAUUUAAAAAAGAAUGGGACCCUCUUCUUUUCUAUUUAAAAAUACAUCACAAAAUGGAUUUAUGUCAGGCUUUUGAGGGCUAACAACAAAUGUUUCAAAAACAUCCUAAAGUUGUUUUCUAUAUGAAUUACUGGGGAGAGAAGGUUUAAUCUAUAGGCAAGAUCUGGUUAUUGUUAACAACACUUGUUCCAACGAUGAGAUGGAAGUCUUUAUUGUGUGUGUUUGUGAGUGUUUGUAUCAUUUGUGUUUGUCCUUUUGUGUUGUGAAAAUUGAAUUAAAAAGUAUAAGGCAAAAAAGAAAUUUCAAUAAAAAUUGUGGGAAAACAA